AACGAACGCUGGCGGCAUGCCUAACACAUGCAAGUCGAACGAGACCUUCGGGUCUAGUGGCGCACGGGUGCGUAACGCGUGGGAACCUGCCCUUAGGUUCGGAAUAACUCCCCGAAAGGGGUGCUAAUACCGGAUAAUGUCUUCGGACCAAAGAUUUAUCGACUUUGGAUGGGCCCGCGUUGGAUUAGCUAGUUGGUAGGGUAAAAGCCUACCAAGGCGACGAUCCAUAGCUGGUCUGAGAGGAUGAUCAGCCACACUGGGACUGAGACACGGCCCAGACUCCUACGGGAGGCAGCAGUGGGGGAUAUUGGACAAUGGGCGAAAGCCUGAUCCAGCAAUGCCGCGUGAGUGAUGAAGGCCUUAGGGUUGUAAAGCUCUUUUACCCGGGAUGAUAAUGACAGUACCGGGAGAAUAAGCUCCGGCUAACUCCGUG
rnacentral:rRNA from 1 species